GAGGAGCUGCAUACAAAGUUGAGACAUAGAUAGUAAUACACAUAAUCAUUGUGUGAAUUUGACACAAUGCUAUAUUGCAAAAUAAUGCUAUACUCAGUAAAUAUUAACAAUCUUGAUCUGCUGAGGCUAACUCUGCAGCAGUCUAUGCAUACACACAGGUCAUCACUCUCUGGCUCACCAUUUGUCAGUUGAGCCAUCUUAAAGAUCCUUAUACUGUUUGUGUUUGCGUAUACAAGACUAAAUUGAAUUUGUAGACUGCUAAGUUGAUAGAUAUUGAAGCCUCCGCCCAACUAUCCUAUGAGGCACUUAUGCAAGUGAUUUUGUGGAUGGCGAGUUAAUGAUCUUUACCACAUACCGCAUUACCCGUGUAGUGUCACAUGCAUACAUGUCUAGACUACAACAGUUAUGACAAACAGUUAAUUGUAGUGAAUUAUUCUCCAGGAGUCUGGACGAUAUAGUUAUGGACACAGAGCAGCUUCUAACUGUGGCACAAGCACCUCCAAGUGUUCAGCAACAGUAUGGAGCUCCACAGCAACUUGCAACCAACUACUUUCUACUUGCAGCCGAACAACAGCCUGCCACCAUACAACAAGUGGUCCAACCUCCACAAGCUCCUGUAGUGCCAAGUGCUCCAAUACAGCAUGUGAACCAAGUGGCCCCACAGUAUAGUGCUCCGCAGUAUCAGGCUCCCCAGUAUCGUGGUGGCAAUCAUUGUGCACAACAAAUUGUCACGAACAUGGUCAUACGUAUCUGCCCGACUUCAACUACAAACCAAAUGACUACCUUACUCUGACGAUUACCAUGGCAAUAUCUGUGGUAUCUUCUCCGUUGGGAGUCUCUUCUGUACAGUCCCAGCUGUCUUACUUUCUAUGAAGAGCAAAAAGGCGACUGCUGCAGGCAAUAUUAAGGAGGGGCGCAGACUGGGGGUACGUGCUGUCUACCUGGUUAUUGGAGCUAUAGUGUUUGCUCUCAUGAUGGCCAUGUUCCUUACUGGGAUUAUGAUACCUGUACAACGGACCUGGCUAUGCUAUUAUGAAGGAUAUAAUUGUGAACGCUAUGGAAUAGGCCCAGGUCCAUUAUAAUAUUAUGUGACUUGAACAAACUGCAUGCAUGGUGAAUAGCAUAUUGUACAAACUUAAUUGUUUCUGCAUAAUUAUGUCUAAAACUACUAUUGUGCAUGCUAUAAUUAUAUGCUAGCUAUUAUUGUACUUAAUAAUAUUAUGGUUGUACUAUAACAAUGAAAUUCCAAAUUUGCGUUGUUCA